CCCAGACUCCUACGGGAGGCAGCAGUGGGGGAUAUUGCACAAUGGGGGGAACCCUGAUGCAGCGACGCCGCGUGGGUGAAGGAGCGUUUCGGCGCGUAAAGCCCUAUCGGCAGGGAAGAAGGAGGACGGUACCUGACUAAGAAGCCCCGGCUAACUACGUGCCGGCAGCCGCGGUAAUACGUAGGGGGCAAGCGUUAUCCGGAUUUACUGGGUGUAAAGGGGGCGCAGACGGCAGCGCAAGCCAGGAGUGAAAGCCCGGGGCCCAACCCCGGGACUGCUCUUGGAACUGCGCGGCUGGAGUGCAGGAGGGGCAGGCGGAAUUCCUGGUGUAGCGGUGAAAUGCGUAGAUAUCAGGAGGAACACCGGUGGCGAAGGCGGCCUGCUGGACUGCGACUGACGUUGAGGCCCGAAAGCGUGGGGAGCAAACAGGAUUAGAUACCCGCGUAAAC
rnacentral:rRNA from 1 species